rnacentral:rRNA from 1 species
CAGCCGUAAACAAUGUGCGUUAGGUGUGUCGGUAACCACGUGUUACUGAUGCGCCGAAGAGAAAUCGUGAAACGCACCACCUGGGAAGUACGGUCGCAAGGCUGAAACUUAAAGGAAUUGGCGGGGGAGCACCACAACAGGUGGAGCCUGCGGUUUAAUUGGACUCAACGCCGGGAAGCUCACCGGAUAAGACAGCGGAAUGAUUGCCGGGCUGAAGACUCUGCAUGACUAGCUGAGAGGAGGUGCAUGGCGUAGACGUCU